rnacentral:rRNA from 1 species
GGGCUGCAGCAAGGAAUAUUGGGCAAUGGGCGAAAGCCUGACCCAGCAACGCCGCGUGGGGGAGGAAGGCCUUCGGGUCGUAAACCCCUUUUAUCAGGGAAGAAUAAUGACGGUACCUGGUGAAUAAGUCUCGGCUAACUACGUGCCAGCAGCCGCGGUAAUACGUAGGAGGCAAGCGUUAUCCGGAUUUACUGGGCGUAAAGCGCGCGCAGGCGGCCUUUCAAGUCGGAUGUAAAAUCUCCCGGCUCAACUGGGAGGGACCAUUCGAUACUGUUGGGCUAGAGGGCAGCAGAGGGAGGUGGAAUUCCCGGUGUAGCGGUGAUAUGCGUAGAUAUCGGGAGGAACACCAGUGGCGAAGGCGGCCUCCUGGGCUGUACCUGACGCUGAGGCGCGAAAGCGUGGGGAGCGAACAGGAUUAGAUACCCUUGUAGUC